rnacentral:tRNA from 1 species
CAGGGAAUAGUUUAAUAUCAGAAUUUCAGCUUUGGGUGUUGAUGGUAGAAUUAAGUAUUCUUUCCCUGA